rnacentral:rRNA from 1 species
AUGGCCAUACCAUGCUGAAUAUACCGGUUUCUCUUUAGAUCACCGAAGUCAACAUCAUUGGGCGCGGUCAGUACUUGGGUGGGUGACCACAUGGGAACACCGCGUGCCGUU